GUGUUCGCUUUAGCAGCACACAUACUAAAAUUUGGGAAGAUACAGACAAGAUUAGCAGGGCCCUGCACAGGAAGACACACAAAUUCAUGAAGCAUUACAUAUUUUU